CCCUUAGAUGUUCUGGGCCGCACGCGCGCUACACUGAUGCAUUCAACGAGCCUAUCCUUGACCGACAGGUCCGGGUAAUCUUUGAAUCUGCAUCGUGACGGGGAUAGAUUAUUGCAAUUAUUAAUCUUCAACGAGGAAUGCCUAGUAGGCGCAAGUCAUCAGCUUGCGUCGAUUACGUCCCUGCCCUUUGUAAACACCGCCCGUCGCUCCUACCGAUUGGGUGUGCUGGUGAAAUGUUCGGAUCGGCCGUUUGUCGCGGUUUCCGCGUCAUGUGGCUGAGAAGUUCAUUAAACCCUCCCACCUAGAGGAAGGAGAAGUCGUAACA
rnacentral:rRNA from 1 species